rnacentral:rRNA from 1 species
CCUACGGGGGGCUGCAGUGGGGAAUAUUGGACAAUGGGGGCAACCCUGAUCCAGCCAUGCCGCGUGUGUGAAGAAGGCCCUCGGGUUGUAAAGCACUUUCAGUGAGGAAGAACGCCUGGUGGUUAAUACCCAUCAGGAAAGACAUCACUCACAGAAGAAGCACCGGCUAACUCCGUGCCAGCAGCCGCGGUAAUACGGAGGGUGCGAGCGUUAAUCGGAAUUACUGGGCGUAAAGCGCGCGUAGGUGGCUUGAUAAGCCGGUUGUGAAAGCCCCGGGCUCAACCUGGGAACGGCAUCCGGAACUGUCAAGCUAGAGUGCAGGAGAGGAAGGUAGAAUUCCCGGUGUAGCGGGGAAAUGCGUAGAGAUCGGGAGGAAUACCAGUGGCGAAGGCGGCCUUCUGGACUGACACUGACACUGAGGUGCGAAAGCGUGGGUAGCAAACAGGAUUAGAUACCCGAGUAGUC